GCUUUAGUGGCGCAGCUAACGCGAUAAGUAGACCGCCUGGGGAGUACGGCCGCAAGGUUAAAACUCAAAUGAAUUGACGGGGGCCCGCACAAGCGGUGGAGCAUGUGGUUUAAUUCGAUGCAACGCGAAGAACCUUACCUGGUCUUGACAUAGUGAGAAUCUUGCAGAGAUGGGAGUGCCUUCGGGAAUUCACAUACAGGUGCUGCAUGGCUGUCGUCAGCUCGUGUCGUGAGAUGUUGGGUUAAGUCCCGCAACGAGCGCAACCCUUUUCCUUAUUUGCCAGCGGGUUAAGCGGGAACUUUAAGGAUACUGCCAGUGACAAACUGGAGGAAGGCGGGGACGACGUCAAGUCAUCAUGGCCCUUA
rnacentral:rRNA from 1 species